AUUGUUUCACAAACGACCCACUCAAAUUGUUUGGCAAUUGGUAGCAAUCCAGAGAACCCAUAACUGAAAAUAGUGGGAAAUAAUGGAGCUGAAAAAAGGGAUUUGGCUGAUCUACCUCCAUUUGAUGUUGUUUCAUGUCAAUGGGUCAGCUUUAAAUUGCACCUGGCCAAAUGCUGAAUCCCUUUAUGAUGCGCUUGACGAAACAAUAUUUUCAAAGAACCAUCUACGCCCUGUGAAUCUGCUUGAAACACCAACAAAUGUCUCCAUCUCUUUCAUUUUGGCUGGAAUUCUCGGAGCAGUAAAAAAAGCACAAACAUUUACAACUUUCUUAUGGAUUCGUCUUGAGUGGAUCAUAGAGGGUUUGACCUGGGACGAGAAGGAAUGUGGUUCAGAGUAACUGUCGGUUAAACGUGAAAACCUGUGGAUUCCAGACAUUUUCAUCUUAGAGUU